AUUGAACGCUGGCGGCAUGCCUUACACAUGCAAGUCGAACGGUAACGGGCCUUCGGGUGCCGACGAGUGGCGAACGGGUGAGUAAUACAUCGGAACGUGCCCGAUCGUGGGUGUUAACGAGGCUAAAGCUUUGCUAAUACCGCAUACGAUCUACGGAUGAAAGCAGGGGACCGCAAGGCCUUGCUCGGACGGAGCGGCCGAUGGCAGAUUAGGUAGUUGGUGGGUUAAAAGCUUACCAAGCCGACGAUCUGUAGCUGGUCUGAGAGGAUGAUCAGCCACACUGGGACUGAGACACGGCCCAGACUCCUACGGGAGGCAGCAGUGGGGAAUUUUGGACAAUGGGCGCAAGCCUGAUCCAGCGAUGCCGCGUGCAGGAUGAAGGCGUUCGGGUUGUAAACUGCUUUUGUACGGAACGAAAAGCAUUCUUUUAAUACAGGAGGGUCAUGACGGUACCGUAAGAAUAAGCACCGGCUAACUACGUG
rnacentral:rRNA from 1 species